AAGGACUUUGCUGAGUUUUAAAUGUUCUGAUGAGCCAAUGUACAAAGUUUGUGCUUUGAAGAAGCUUCGCCUUUUAGCUAGUGUCAAAACUCCUACAAGCUCCAGCAAGACCUGUGUUGAUGCCAAGUCAACACAAGCUCAGUCUCCAGCGUCUGACCACAAGAAGUCUGACUUGAGCAUGGAAAGCUACACAACAUGAGAAUGUUUUCUCAGAAGGAUUGGUUUCGAGCCACGUCACACCACUUCCCUCCAGAUGCAGUUGCGAAGGUGCAGAGCUGCUUGGUAUUCAGGGAGCAUCGGUGGCUCCGGGUCACUCAAUAUUCCAGGGCGAGGAGUGAAUUGCUCGGUAUUCCAGGGAUGUGCCAUCGCUCCGUGUCUGCCGGUACCCCAGCCCGUGCUGCUGAGAUCUCUCGGUAUUCCUCCGGUGUGCUUCAGGUGCUUAAAGGCUGUCACGGAGAGCUUGGGUGCCUGCCAGGACGAGAGCCUUCAGCAUUCACAUGUGCCUCCCCUGCGAGGGGUGAGGCACGCGGCCAGCCACUCGGCUCGCCGCUCUGCCGGCUUUUGAGAAUAGAGGCGAACACGAUGGUCAAAGAGAAAAUGACAAUAGAGAGGAGAGCAAAAGAGAAGCGGUGAAAGAAGGGAGAGAUAUGAAAGGACGGUUCUUUAGGAAAUGAGACCUUUGAGCCCCUCACACAGGUGCUUUCCAAUAGCCCUGGUUGAGGUUCAGAUUAAAACGGUGAAGGCAACGCAUCCCAUCUUUGUCAGGCUGACACCAGCACCCGAGGCAGAGCUGAUCAGAUCCAUUCAUUCUCACACUUUUUGCUACCGGUCAGUGUUAUGUGAUAAAAGGCUCAUUCCCACAACACAAAGGAGCAAAACAGGAGGCAAAGGAGUGAAUCAGGAACAUGGGACCUGACCUGGCUCCUCGCAGGGCUGUCCCAGGAGGCCGUCACCCCAUCCCGUGCAGAUGAAACCCAUCACGACCAAGUCAACGGGAGAGACUCUUCAGAGCACCUUUACCACUGGGAUGGGUCACUGCAGGGCAUGGCACUAGCUGUGAGACACAGGGAAGAGCCUUUGGGGAUCAGAAAAUACUUUGUACAAAUCUGUUUCUAAGAUUUUCUUAAAUAAUGUCUUUCAGAAAUUUUGCCUUGUCAUUUGAGAAAAGCACAACCCCCUCACUAUUCUUUUGUCUGCAAUUAUGACAAUUCCAUAAUGGCAUUGAAACAUAAUAAAAAUGAUUAGCAUAAAACUUCUUGAUUGACU
rnacentral:lncRNA from 1 species